rnacentral:rRNA from 1 species
UACAGAGGUCUCAAGCGUUGUUCGGAUUCAUUGGGCGUAAAGGGUGCGUAGGUGGCGCCGUAAGUCAGGUGUGAAAUUUCGGAGCUUAACUCCGAAACUGCAUUUGAUACUGCGGUGCUUGAGGACUGGAGAGGAGACUGGAAUUUACGGUGUAGCGGUGAAAUGCGUAGAUAUCGUAAGGAAGACCAGUGGCGAAGGCGGGUCUCUGGACAGUUCCUGACGCUGAGGCACGAAGGUCAGGGGGAGCAAACGGG